GUCUUAUUACCUGGUGGAACCGGUUAAACCGUUUGGUUUUCGACCACUAUGACCCGGGUUCGAUUCCCGCAUUGGACA